rnacentral:rRNA from 1 species
CCUCAGGUCAGGCGGGAGCACCCGCCGAAUUUAAGCAU